AAAGAAGUGCUUUUGCUGCUUAAUGAAUGAAAAUCAUUGCUUACAAGUAGGAACAAGGAGGGAGUAGAAAAAUUCCCACCCUUUCCUCACAGCUGCCUAAGUGAAUAACCACUCAAUCAAAAAUGGAAUCUGGAAAAUGGAAUCUGGAGUAAAGAAGUUGUGAAACAAAGCAAACAGAAAGGCUCUGCACCAAUCCCAAGGCCCAAAGAUAAGCAUGGGCCUGUGACUUUCUGUGACUGAUAAAACUAUACACGUAAUGGCUGAAGCUCCGUCAGACAUCUUGUAUCACAACCUGGUGUCCCAGGAAAUAAAAAGCAAGCACAGCAAAGCAACGCAAUCUUAGGGUCCUUAUUUCCUAACAAUAUAGUUUCUGUUCUACUGCAGGACCAUUCUUUUGUCCGUGAUAUUUGUGAAAUGGCUGCUGUGGCUGGACUGUGUCCUAGAUGCUGGUGAUGCGUUGGUGAAUAAGACAAACCUUGCUCUGACUGUUGGAAGCUUAUAUUUUCAUGAUGGAAAGACAAACAAUGCACAACUAAAUAAACAAGAUGUUUUUGGAGAGUGACAGAAGAACUAAGAUCAGAUUGAUGGUGAUUUUUCCUGAGUGCCAAAGUUAAGUCAAUGCCACCAGGGAAAGUGGGAGAAGAAACUGCCCUACUAUUCACAUUUAGGGAAUUCUCACUGAAGAUUAAAAGAAGAUAAAGAUCUGCUAGUGGUGGCAAAAUACCCACAGAGGUUCCUCACCCAGUGGACUCCUGUGAAAAUCGACAGAAAGCUAAUUGAAGAGGAGAGGCACGCUGCUUGGCUCUCAUUAGUCUAUUCCUGUGCCAUGCCCACGUGGACCAGUGCAUUCUUUCAUAGCUGAUUGAUAUGUGAUGCCCUCGCACCCCCCAUCCUGACCAAAUGUUCUACAAAGUAGGAGCGAUACUCCAGGAAUCAGCUUGAAUAUUCUACAGAGGAUUGUCCAGUGACUAUAAAAUAAGCUGGAAGCAGAAAUUUCAGUAAUUAGUUCAACUAUAGAAUCAUUACGUGAACUAGAACAAGGAUUAACACAUGGACAUCUUUGGAGGACAAAGAAUGUGGGCAGCCUGGAGAAGCUGGAAAAGGUAAGGAAGAGCAUUCUUCCCUAUAACCUCCAGAAAUGUAAGCAGGAAUAGAAAACUAACAUGCUACCCAAGCUGCCUGAGUUUAUUCUCACUGCACUAAGUUUCACUGUCCUGACAGAUACAGCUGUCCUUCCUCUUAUCCCUAGGUCGGGUCUGCUGAUCUGAGUGACUAGCAGAUGUCAUAUUCAAUUAGUCUCCAGAAUGUCUCUUGCACAGCUCUUUUGUUGCCUGUCUCUACGCCUUUGCUCGUGCUCUUUCCAGUUUUGGAAAUGACUCAGUCAUUGGCUCUGCCUAUUCAAAUCUCCGGUAUUCCUUAAGGUUCUGAUAAUAACCUGUGUCCUUCCUGAAGACUUUUCUACCUACUCCAACUCACUCCAAAUGCUUACAACUGAGAAUUCCAAUUAUUUAGAAUCAAAGACUGGCACUUUUGCUCAGAAUGUUUCAUAUUAGCAAUAUCUCCUCCAAUCCAAACAGUGU